ACUUCGAAGCGUAAAAAGUGUGAAUUAGCUCAUUUACUUUGAAUUGCCUGCGCUACCGCCGCAUUAUGACGAAAAAGAACACAGAACUUUGUGAGAAAGCAACGAAUUUCAACGUAUACGUAUGCCUGCCAACGGCAUGUCGAUCAACUGUACCGUUAUUCAGUGUUGUUUACAAAUCCAAAUGGAAGGUUCAUCAAAUUUAACGUAUUUGACUUGUGCAUGGAUCUGCGAUGCUGUAGGUGUUCAAAAAGAAGUCGGCAUGGACUGACAAGGUCAUAAAGGUGGUCAAGAAAUAAAUUGCCAACAGACAGCAGCAUUCCUUGAUUUAGAUGCAUUUCUCUUCAUGUCCUCUCCUGAAAGAUUUUCCAUGAUGCCUCAUGGUUAGGAUUGGGAUGCAAGAUGUACAGUACAUAUAUAUGAUGUCUAUGGGUACAUUGCUGUAAUGGCCUGAAAAAUCUUUUGCGAAACCGAGAAAUGUUCAUCUUCCAUUGCCAUGAUUGUGUAAAAGGACGAGCAGAGGAAUGAUUCAAAAAUAUAUGGCAGGAUUGAGAAUCUAACCCAUGACCCAUAGUCUGGUACUCUACCCACUGACCAAUCCAUGCUGAUGGUCCAUCUGCUACAUUGAUGUCAUCUUAUAUAUUUAUUUAUUCAUUUAUAUCAUAUGGACAUUUAAAAAUUGACAGUAAAAUAAAAAAAAGUUUGAUAUUCAGCAAAAUAGAAUUUGUUACAAUACAUGUUUAAGAAAUUAAGUACAUGUACAUGCAUUGUUAUGCAUACAAUUAUGUACAUGUAAUUAUAUUUGUUAAUAGAUAAAUUUUUAGAUGAAUUUUCAUGUUGUUAUUGAUAUUGACAUGUACAUGUAUUACUUCCAUUUCUAGAAUGAUUUUAACAUCUUGAUAUUAAAAAGAUGACAUAAUAAAUAAA